AUCCUUUGGUUCAUGAGCAUGAUGAUUAGGUGUUCAUGCCUUACGCAUGAGAUGUGCCUCCCUCAAGCCUUGUUACAGUGUGGGCACAUUACCCGUCUGACG